rnacentral:rRNA from 1 species
AUUGAACGCUGGCGGCAUGCCUUACACAUGCAAGUCGAACGGCAGCACGGGUGCUUGCACCUGGUGGCGAGUGGCGAACGGGUGAGUAAUACAUCGGAACGUACCUUAUCGUGGGGGAUAACGCAGCGAAAGCUGUGCUAAUACCGCAUACGCCCUGAGGGGGAAAGCGGGGGAUCGCACGCCCUCGCGCGACUAGAGCGGCCGAUGCCUGAUUAGCUUGUUGGUGGGGUAAAAGCCCACCAAGGCGACGAUCAGUAGCUGGUCUGCGAGGACGAUCAGCCACACUGGGACUGAGACAUGGCCCAGACUCCUACGGGAGGCAGCAGUGGGGAAUUUUGGACAAUGGGGGCAACCCUGAUCCAGCAAUGCCGCGUGAGUGAAGAAGGCCUUCGGGUUGUAAAGCUCUUUUGUCAGGGAAGAAACACCGGCUCUAACACAGUCCGGGAAUGACGGUACCUGAAGAAUAAGCACCGGCUAACUACGUGCCAGCCGCCGCCGUAA